GAUGAAGAACGUAGCAAAAUGCGAUAAGUAAUGUGAAUUGCAGAAUUCAGUGAAUCAUCGAAUCUUUGAACGCACAUUGCGCCCGCUGGUAUUCCGGCGGGCAUGCCUGUUCGAGCGUCAUUUCAACCCUCAAGCCCCCGGGUUUGGUGUUGGGGAUCGGCUCUGCCCUUCUGGGCGGUGCCGCCCCCGAAAUACAUUGGCGGUCUCGCUGCAGCCUCCAUUGCGUAGUAGCUAACACCUCGCAACUGGAACGCGGCGCGGCCAUGCCGUAAAACCCCAACUUCUGAAUGUUGACCUCGGAUCGGGUAGGAAUACCCGCUGAACUUAAGCAUAUCAAUAAGCGGAGGA
rnacentral:misc_RNA from 1 species